UGGUGUGGGUGUUUUCUAAGAAGUUUCUUAAAUCUUUCCCAUGAUUCAUGAAUUUGUUCUUCUAAAAGCUGAGCAAAUCCAAUGAUGGCUCGUCUCAUGGUGUUGGUUCGACCUAUGAGAUAGAAUUUCUUAAAAAACUCAUGCUGCAUUUCAGCCCAAGUUUGGAUUGGUCUCUCUAUUGUGCUAAGCCAGUACUUGG
rnacentral:lncRNA from 1 species